rnacentral:rRNA from 1 species
CUGCCAGAAUUCAUAUGCUUGUCCCGAAGACUAAGCCAUGCAUGCCAACCUGAUAAAUUUGCCCGGGUUAAGCCGCGCUCAGCGCAUCAGUCUUUGCUCGGGCUAAGGAAUCAGCGAACGGCUCCGUAUAUCUGUUGUGACCUAUCGUGGUAAAUUGGGCGUGGAUAUAGCACGGAAAAGCUGUGUGUAACACAACCAAUACUGGGCAAACUGGAGCCGGGUAACUCCGCUCUGGAUCAAGAGGAGAGCCGGGGUCCAGCCCUUUCGGGCCCGGCAAAUCCCGCCCACAGCUCCUAUGACGAGGCGAGCGGCGGGGCCCCGGUGAAAGCCGGGGUCUACGCGGCCCUAAGAUCGGAGGCCUCUUCAGGGGGAUCUUCGCUGUUCGGUCGCGCGGCUGCGUGAGGGCGCCGAGGUGGACAGGGUUUAGCCCCUCGAUCGCGCGGCAUGUAACGCCCGGACCCCCCUAAAGCAGAAGAGACUAACCACAAGCGCACGAUGGGCUUCAGACCUAUCAGCUAGAUGGUAGGGUAUUGGCCUACCAUGGCAAUGACGGGUACAGAGGAUUAGGGUUUGAUCCUGGAGAGGUAGCCUGAGAAAUCGCUCCCACUUCUAAGGAAGGCAGCAGGCGCGUAACGUUCCCAAUGCUAACCCCAGUGAGGACGUGAAGGGAUAUAACAAUGCCCCUUAUGAUUAAGUGGGUAAUUGACAAUGGGGUGGGCCCAAAGA